rnacentral:rRNA from 1 species
UCAUGAAAGCCGGUUGUAACCGAAGUCCGCAAGCAAACUCGCAAGAGGCGCAGCGGCCGAAGGUAUGGCUGGUGAUUGGGAUG